GAUUUUGCUCCUUUGAAUUGUCUGAUAGUUAAAUCGCAAUCAACCCUUUUUUGUGGAAAGAUACUUUCCUUUCACCUUUUUAUAAUUUUGUUUCCAUUGAUGCAGAGGGAGUUUUGUAGAUCAUGCACUUCAAAAUAUUAACAUAUUUUGUCAUUUUUUUAAAGAAAAAAAUAAAGAUCAAUAAUUAAUUCUUGAUAAUUUUGCUCCUUUGGAUUGGAGAUUUAGGUGUGAGCUACGUUGCAAUAAUCAUCUUCAGUCGGAUAUGUGUGCUGUUAGGACAAUACUGCAGUAAAGCAUAAUACAAAAUAACACUAACUGCAGUAAAGCAUAAUCACUUUGAUUGUGGCAAGAAACCUUUCCUUCCAACUUUGUUGUAAUUUUGUUUCUUUCUAUUGAGGAAGAUGAAGUUUUAUAGAUCAGACACUUCAAAUAUUAACAUAUUUUGCUUCUUUGAAUUAGAUAUUUGGGUUUGAAUUACUUUGCAAUCAACUUCAGCUGGAUAUGUGCACGAUAACACAAAAAUAUGAGAAGGAGAGAAAAGAAAAAGAUGAAAUGAAACGGCUGACCGACCCAUCACCAUCGGUGUGACGAAAGAGAUGCCACUGGCCACAGGAUUCCAAUCUCGCAGACUGCAACAAACCAAAAAGCCUCUUCACGGGAUGUACUUGACACCUCGCUGACGGCCAUCUUCUCUGACGACACUCAACGCUGGUGGCACAGCAUGUAUGGAUGUUGGAGGAGGGGCACACAUCACAUGGUCACCCAGCUGGAUUCCUUUAUCGUUUCCUCUCUCUCAUCUGUCGCUGUUCUCUCCAUCACGAAGAGUUCACGAACAUCUACCCCACGCUCGAAUAUUCAAGUACAUGUACAUGUACUACUACCGCUGCUGCUCCUUUCGGCAUGGAGAUAUGUGCUGUAAUACCGUAUAAAGAUCAAUAUCAGUAUAUAAAGAUUUCUAUUUCAGAUCAUAAAAAAAUGAUAUCCUAUAGGUUGCUAAUUGAUCCUUUUUAUUUUUAUUUUUCUAUCAAAUGUUUAAUCCUUUUAUCCAGGGAUUUAUGAUAAUUUCUUCCUAUUUCGAUUCUCGUGAAGUCUUACUAUUUGCUACAGCAAAUAGAAAAUAUUAUUUUAGAUGAUCUAUACGUGGAAAAGUCUAUCCUUAAUGAGUAUAUGAAACCCAUAAGUAAAAAAUAUUAACAACUUCAUUAAUCUUAUAUUAACUAAUGACCAGUGAUCCAAAACUCAAUAUAUUGACUAUUUGAAUCACAUCUUACAUGCAUUAUUAUCUUAUUCAGGACUAUAUUUGUCCUUGAUGAUGAGUCGAACAUCCUUAUUUAUUCUGAUAAGUAUUUAAAAAAUUGUAUUACUAUUAAUUUCUUCAAAUUACAUCGUCAGAAUUUAUUAACCUAUGGGGGAAGGGAAAUUAGAUCAUUAACUGCAGCAGAUCUUUGUUGGCUUCGCAUCUUGUCAACUGCAGAAACGUGCGGUGGUCGAUUCUUUUUCUGAGAGAAAGCAAGCUAUUUGGAUCAUUGCAAGCUGUGAAUGGUUGUCAUCACAUCAGAUCUCUGCAGCAGAAUUAGAACAGUGUCUACAAUUUUGGCCUCAGCAUCUGUACUGCUCAUCCAACUUUCCUGUAAGUUUCAUAUCGAUUUGCAUAGUGUUACGGCAGCAUAUUCGUGUACUGCUUUUUAUUUUUAUUCUUCCAAUCCAAUAAUAUAUCCAUCUCGGAGAGAAUAAACAAGAGGAGAGAGGAGAGAGGAGAGAGGAGAGAAAAAGAGUGAGCCAAAGGGAGGAUACAUUUAAUCAACUAUUACGUGUUAAUUAUUAAAUACUAAUUAUUAGUCUACUUGAACAUUUUCUAUAGGAGAGCGGAAAAAGUUUCUGCCAAUUGGUUAAUGUAUCAUGAGACAAGUGAAGUCUUCUUAUGUUCAAGACAAUGAGGAAACGUUAUAUAACAUCAUUUAAUAUAAUAAAAUUUUAUUUUAUUUAAAAAAAAAAGAGUGAGAAGAAAAAGAAUGCUAUCAUCACUCCACUAAACUCAUUUAGGAAAAUAACUAUUCUAGCAUAUACUAUAGACAUAUUAGAGUUUUCGUACACUAAUUAGAUCUCAAAUGAUACAUUAGAGACUCCCAAAAAAUACCUUUUUAAUAUCAUAAUAAAAUGUAUUAUUAACUCAAUAUGUUUUGUGAAUAUUUGGCUCCAAAUUCUUUUGCCCCUUCUUCAUCUCAUCCACCAGAAUUCUAUGUCAAUAUGAAGUUUCUUUUAGAUACAAUUAAACAGGGAUAAGGUUGAAUCGUAUUACUUCAAAUUCCAACCGAUUCAGAGUUUCACAUGUAGAUAGAUUAAACCUUUUUUCAAUCAUGAUCGAGUUGAGGUUGAAUUGGAUAAGAUCUUGAUGAAGGCUUAUGUGAUAUAUGGGUGUGAUAGGAGUGAUUUCGGGCAUUUAGUCACCUUUCCAUUGGUAUUGAGAUUGAAUAAAACUAUAAUACAUAUCAUAAAUUGAAUCCAAUUAGGAUUGUAUUAUAAUAAUUCUCCAUGUAUCGCGAUUCAAGGCCACUUUUGUAUAGGGGAAAAAAAAAAGCCUUCGAGCAUUAUCAUAUCACUAUAAGAGAUAGUAUACAUAUCUAAAAGGUGAUCUUAUGUUAAUUUAGUCGUUAAUGUGAUAUUGAAGAGAUUCCAGUAGAUUGAAUAAGGAUUGGAAAGGACAAGUUUAAUCUUAGAGUUACACAUAGACUGGUUUAGGUCUUAACAUUACAUAUAGACUGGGUUUAGGUUUAGGAUUGCGCCCGGAUCAAACAACAUAUAGUAUAUUUGUUAGUCCAAAAGUCGAUCGUCCUAAUACUGAUUCUAUAUCUUAACGCACAUCAAAAAUCAUCCUAAAACAUAAAUCAUGAAGAGAGAUGGUUGAGUCGAGCUUCCUCCUGCAAGAGAAGACCACUAUCAUAUAUAUUCAUGAUGAGGUCUUUCUAAUGCUCACGUCAUCACAUAUGUGACAUCAAGUUGAUAGUAGAGAUAGAAGAGAGAAGAAUCAGGAGAAUUAUUGAAGGGUACCUAUUAAUAGCCAGGGAUUCUUGACCCAUAUGCAUCACUAUUCUUUGAUUCGGGAUGAUCGUAGCAUCACUUAAAUCUAUUUUUGUAAGACAUAGAUAUUAGAAAUCAAUCAUUGAAAUUUGAUUGAAUAUCCACUAAAUCAUUGUUAUACAUCAAUUUGUAUUGCUGGAAUAAAUUGAUAGCUACCACUCGGAAGUAUCUGAUGAAGGUGGUUUAAGACUGAAAUAAGUGCGAUAAAAUCAUAGUCUAGUUUAGCUUAGCUGUGGCAAGGGAUGUAUCAUAACAAUUCACCUCCCCUUAAAUAUUUGAUCUCCAAGUUGAUGGUUAAAUAUGUUGAAUCUUGGAUUUUGACGAUGAAACCAAUUGAUAGUGUUUAUCUUAUAUGUGUUUUGAGUGACAUAGGGUGUUUCGAUUAGGGAAAGACAAUUAAAAGCAAGAAGAAUCAUAUUGGGUUGAAGCGGAACAUGUCAAAAGAUUAGACGUCGAGCCGGAGGAUCGGUCGACGUAUCAGCAGAAGGUUUCGGGCCAUGAGUUCGGGCAUUGGGCCAAGAAGAACAAAAAUUGCACCAAAGAAAUCAGAGUUAUGGAGGUCAACUAGCCGAUUGGUCAAUAGGUCACAAGAAAAGACCGAUGCGUCAAAGAAUCGGACGAAGCAUCGAUAAACCAAUGACAUGCCGGACAACAUGAUUCAAGCUUUGUAAUAAUUGUCUAGAUCAAAGUAGGUUUUAUUUGUGCAAGAUUAACUACGAUAGUGAUCAAGGCAUAAAGUAAAAUGAAGUUCCGGAGUCAAGAACGAGAUUUUGUUGGGAGUUCGAGAGUUCGUUGGAAGUUCGAACGUUCGUCGAAAGUUCUAUCGGAAUUAACCGAGAAGUCUAAGAACUUGCCAGAGAAGCUCAUCGGAACUCGCCAAGAAGAUCAUCGUGAAGUCUAAGAGCUUGCCAGGAGUCCACUGGAAUAUUGCCAAGAGAUUAUCGGAAGUUCGCUGGAAGAAAUCGAACUUAUUUAGCUCAGUGUAUGCCUUAAAUUUCGUAGUUAGCACAUAAUUGGGUUGGAAUUGGGCCAACUCAAUUAUGGGUCAAUUGGGUCCAAGGUUAGACUGUGUUGGGCCAAGUGAAAAGGCCUAAACAGUGACCCAACAGGUGGCACUGUUGUGGCACUGGCUCUGAGACUAUGUCAAGCGAUGGUAUUAUCGGUCUAGGCAGUGGUAACGCCCAAACUCAGUCUCCGAGACUAUUAGGCGGUGGUACCGCUAGUUUGGGUGGUGGUACCACCCAAACACAGUCUCCCAGGUGGUGGUACUAUCAAAUUGGAUAGUGGUACCACCCAAUGUCAUUGCUGCAGGCGAUAGUACCGUCCAGCACAAGUGGUGGUACCGUUAGGACCCGGGAAACCCGGGAUGAGACUCUUUUAUGCUCUAAGUUUGAAUGUACUUGAGGUCUAUAAAUACUUCUCUCAUCUUUGGUUAACAUACACAAGAAUUGAGUGAAAAAAAAUAGAAAAACUCUGUUGUAAUCUUGUGAGAACUCAACUAAAAACUCUUAGUGUUAGUAUAGUUUUAGAGAGGAGUGAAUGAGGUGUAAAAUUUAUCUCCUAUACCUGUGAAAAGGAGAAUAGGGUUGUAAAAGGGUAGUUGAUCUUUGCCCAUUGAAAGAAAAUCAUUAAUGGAUACUGGUGGCCUCGACGGAAAGAGAAUCAGUGGAGUGGAUAUAAGUCACAAUGAUUGAACCACUAUAAAUCGGUUUGUAUUUUUGUUCUACUUUUAAUUCUCAUAUUAUAAACUGAUUUACUUAAUUUAUUUGCUCAUAACAUUCUUAUAAACGUUUGAAAGUUAAGCAUCUUUCCAAGAUCGAUUUUAAUCGUAUGAGAAUUUUUCAAAAUCGGUAUUUUUACUACUGCACUAAUUCACCUCCGCUCUUAGUGCCGACUCAUUCCUGUCAAAAUACAUUUAUUAUCAUCAAUUUUAACAAUUUUCAUACUUCAUAUUACAUGUAUGUAUGGAACUUUUUCUUUUGUUGAAUUUAGAGGCCUAAACGGUCUCAUAUUAAACUAAAAUGUUCUUUUAUGUAAUUGAUAAUUGAUAACAAACUAAUUUGUGAAUAGGUGCGGUUAAUUUGCAUCAUCUUAUAUGUUUAAUAAGUAUGCUAAAUAGAUUCAUUAUCAAGUAUCUUUCUAUUACUCUUUCUCUUAAGGAAGAAGAUACAUUCUAAGACAAAAUAAUUAAAAGAGAGAAGGGAGAUAGAGAGGCUAAUUAAUAGAGAAGACAUAUUAGAGAACAAUCUUGAGAUAUGCUAAAUAGGGCUACAUGAUACUUUAUGCAUAAGAGUUGUGUAGGGGAGGAUCUAAUCUCAUAAAAACUAACUCUAGAACCCUCAAGUUGAGUUGAAAUUAACUAAAUCAUAAUAUGAAUUUUAGUGUUAAUUAGACCCUAAACUCGAGUUUAAACACCCAUAAAAUUAUCUAAAAAAUACUUUCUUAUUGCUCGAAUGCUUUUUCUAUCUUGAGGAUUGUUUGGCUUCCAACUCUAUCUGCCCCUUCAUGAUCUUAUCUACAUUCUAAGCCAAUCAAUUUUCGCUUGAAAUAUGAUUUGAUAGAGAUGAGGCUACACCAAGGUGAUUAUACCGCUAACCCUUAUAUUCUAAUGAGUAUGAGAGUUGCAUCAAGUAAAAUGUAGGAUGAAAGAGAAAAGCUUGGUGAAACAACGAAUUGAUAGUUAAAAUUGUACUCUACAAGAACCAAGAUAAUUGUCUUUCUUUUGUCAGAGUAAUAAUCUAAUUUGAUCCAUUCUCGAACGAGCUGAUAAUAGUGCCAAGUUUGAAGUAGGGUUGAUAUCAAUGUUGGCGAUAGCAUUUCGUCUCAAACAUCAUUUAAGAGAUCACAAACAAACAGUCACGAAUAAACUAAAAAAUCAAACCAAAUGAUAUAAUUCAAUUAUAUUCCAUGAAGUCAUUGCAUGGUUCUUAGGAAGAUUAAACUCUAGUGAAAUUCCAGCUAAAGAGAAAUAUAAGCAUUAACGACCUUAUUCAAAAUUAAUGUAGCUUAUCUAAGAACUUUAUUCCAAUGUAGCACUAGUGCUUUAUUUGAUAUUUUUGAUCAUUUUCAACAGAUUUCACGGGCUAUAUAUGUUGGCUGAAAGCGAGCAGGAAACAUUAUUAUUAUUAUUAUUUAUUAUUAUAGGGAUUAGGUUUUAACUAAAAAGAUUUUAGAUUCUUACAAGGUCAAGACAUAUAUGGCUGCGAUGCUUAAUCACUUCUUUGGCACAAGUCGUCCUUUCACGAUCCUCAAGAUCCCUAGGCCAUGGUAGUUAAAAUCUAGAGAAUGUACAAUAGCAUCGUAGUAGAUUUGUAUCACAACAUACAUCACACAGAUUUGGUUUGAUCAUUGAGGCAGACCUUCAAUCAUUCGGAUGGAUCAACUCAUUUAUAGAUAGAUAAUAUGAAAGGCUGUAUCAUUUUUAAGCACCUAUUCCUUAAAUCAUACUAAGAGAGAAAAAAUUUUAGUGAUAUUACCAUGCAGUUUGACUUCUUUGAUCCAUAACAAAAUCCCUUUAAAACAAGUCUUGUAAUUUUAAUUCUAAAAUGAAUGCAAAUAGUAGAUUUUUUUUUUUCUUCUUCUUCUUCAAUCAAUUUUAAUUUUUAAUGAUGUUACACUUCAAAUAUUAUUAUUAUUAUUUUUAUUUUUUAUGUAAGAUAAGUGAUGAACUUAAGACUCAAAUCUUUAUCAACUAAAUUAGUCGGCAGAUAAAAUUUUGAACCCUCAAUCUUUGAGUAAAUAAUUCUUAUAUACUAUCACCUAAAAUAUGUCAAAUUAUACUUCUAACCCACCCUUAACCAUUGAUGAUGAGAGGGCAUCUAUCAUACACAAUCAUCAUUCUAAUAUUUUAGAAAAAUUGUAAUUAUCGAUAGCAAUAUAUUGGGAUGCAUCACUAAUUAGUUACCAAAUGGGGUCGGUCCUUAAUAUGCUAAAUUAUUAGGUGCAAGCAACUCUUCCAAGCAGCGUUGGCUUGAACUGGUUGGUAAAUAAAACAAUACAAUGCUGUCAUAGCCCUAGGAAAUAGCACAUCCAUGUGACCUGUCUUUUAGAGCUUACACCCUCCCAUCUCUAGUCCUUAUAACAGGACAUCCACACCCUAUCUAGUAGCAGUGUCGUUCGUAGCCAUGGACUCCUCCAACCUCUCAGCUCUCCUUCUCAUCUUCAUGCUCGUCAUUUCCUCCUCCCCUCUCUCUCUUGCCUGUGGCUACUGUCCUCCUUCUACUCCCAAGACCCCGAAAGGACCCAUCACCGUGCCUCCCAUCAUCGUCAACCCACCCAUCACCGUGCCUCCCAUCGUCGUCAGGCCGCCCAUCACCGUGCCUCCCAUCGUCGUCAAGCCGCCCAUCACCGUGCCUCCCAUCAUCGUCAGGCCGCCCAUCACCGUGCCUCCCAUCAUCGUCAAGCCGCCCAUCACGUUGCCUCCCAUCAUCGUCAAGCCGCCCAUCACGUUGCCUCCCAUCAUCGUCAAGCCGCCCAUCACGUUGCCUCCCAUCAUCGUCAAGCCACCCAUCACAGUACCGCCUAUCACGGUGCCACCAGUCAUCGGUGGCGGGAAGCCACCUGGGACCGGAACCGCCGGCUGCCCACCGCCACCAGCACCAGCGAAGCAAUGCCCGGUCGAUGCCGUCAAGUUCGGUACCUGCCUGUAUAUCCUCGGCUCGCCAGUGCACAUCGGCGACCCGGCCGUCACCUGCUGCCCGAUAGUGGAAGGCCU
rnacentral:lncRNA from 1 species